rnacentral:rRNA from 1 species
UUGGGUAGGGGAGCGUUCUGUAAGCCUGCGAAGGUGUACUGUGAGGUAUGCUGGAGGUAUCAGAAGUGCGAAUGCUGACAUAAGUAACGAUAAUGCGGGUGAAAAACCCGCACGCCGGAAGACCAAGGGUUCCUGUCCAACGUUAAUCGGGGCAGGGUGAGUCGACCCCUAAGGCGAGGCUGAAAAGCGUAGUCGAUGGGAAACGGGUUAAUAUUCCCGUACUGGUGGUAACUGCGAUGGGGGAACGGAGAAGGCUAGGUUGUCCGGGCGACGGUCGUCCCGGUUCAAGCAGGUAGGCAGAGUGAUUAGGCAAAUCCGGUCACUUAAUGCUGAGAUGUGAUGACGAACCACCAAGGUGGUGAAGCAAUUGAUGCCCCGCUUCCAGGAAAAGCCUCUAAGCUUCAGGUUACCAACAAUCGUACCCCAAACCGACACAGGUGGUCAGGUAGAGAAUACUCAGGCGCUUGAGAGAACUCGGGUGAAGGAACUAGGCAAAAUGGUGCCGUAACUUCGGGAGAAGGCACGCUGGCGGUAGGUAAAGUCCCUUGCGGACGGCGCUGAAGCCAGUCGAAGAUACCAGCUGGCUGCAACUGUUUAUUAAAAACACAGCACUGUGCAAACACGAAAGUGGACGUAUACGGUGUGACGCCUGCCCGGUGCUGGAAGGUUAAUUGAUGGGGUCAGCCGUAAGGCGAAGCUCCUGAUCGAAGCCCCAGUAAACGGCGGCCGUAACUAUAACGGUCCUAAGGUAGCGAAAUUCCUUGUCGGGUAAGUUCCGACCUGCACGAAUGGCGUAAUGAUGGCCAGGCUGUCUCCACCCGAGACUCAGUGAAAUUGAACUCGCUGUGAAGAUGCAGUGUACCCGCGGCAAGACGGAAAGACCCCGUGAACCUUUACUAUAGCUUGACACUGAACAUUGAGCCUUGAUGUGUAGGAUAGGUGGGAGGCUUUGAAGUGUGGACGCCAGUCUGCAUGGAGCCAACCUUGAAAUACCACCCUUUAACGUUUGAUGUUCUAACCUAGGCCCAUAAACUGGGUCGGGGACCGUGUCUGGUGGGUAGUUUGACUGGGGCGGUCUCCUCCUAAAGAGUAACGGAGGAGCACGAAGGUUGGCUAAGCAUGGUCGGACAUCAUGCGGUUAGUGCAAAGGCAUAAGCCAGCUUGACUGCGAGAGUGACGGCUCGAGCAGGUACGAAAGUAGGUCUUAGUGAUCCGGUGGUUCUGAAUGGAAGGGCCAUCGCUCAACGGAUAAAAGGUACUCCGGGGAUAACAGGCUGAUACCGCCCAAGAGUUCAUAUCGACGGCGGUGUUUGGCACCUCGAUGUCGGCUCAUCACAUCCUGGGGCUGAAGUAGGUCCCAAGGGUAUGGCUGUUCGCCAUUUAAAGUGGUACGCGAGCUGGGUUUAGAACGUCGUGAGACAGUUCGGUCCCUAUCUGCCGUGGGCGUUGGAAGAUUGAGAGGGGUUGCUCCUAGUACGAGAGGACCGGAGUGAACGCACCACUGGUGUUCGGGUUGUCAUGCCAAUGGCAUUGCCCGGUAGCUAAGUGCGGAAGAGAUAACCGCUGAAAGCAUCUAAGCGGGAAACUUGCCUCGAGAUGAGUCUUCCCUGUCGCUUUAAGCGACCUAAAGGAACGUUUAAGACUAAGACGUUGAUAGGCUGGGUGUGUAAGCGUAGCGAUACGUUGAGCUAACCAGUACUAAUGAACCGUGAGGCUUAACC